rnacentral:rRNA from 1 species
GACGUAGGGCGCGAGCGUUGUCCGGAUUUAUUGGGCGUAAAGAGCUCGUAGGCGGCUUGUCGCGUCUCCGUGAAAACCUGCAGCUCAACUGCAGGCUUGCGGUCGAUACGGGCAGGCUAGAGUUCGGUAGGGGAGACUGGAAAUUCCUGGUGUAGCGGUGAAAUGCGCAGAUAUCAGGAGGAACACCGGUGGCGAAGGCGGGGUCUCUGGGGCCCGAUA